rnacentral:rRNA from 1 species
AUGUUUAGGAGCGGGAUCUUCCCAAGAACGACCUAUGGUGGUACGGAAGGCACGGACUCCGCAAGCGCCCCGCACCCUCUAAGAAAGAAACUCCUCAACCAUCACAAGAUAAAGAAGUAUGACGCUCUGUGUCUGACUCUAUUGGUCAUCGUUCCUUGAUGUUGCGGCCGGUGCUCGUUUGCGCGCGUGUGA